CAAGCGGAGUUGAUCAGUUCAAACAAGAGUUUGCCAGGCUCGAAGAUCACAAGGAAGAUGAAGAGGAACGUAACUCCCCACCAGUCCAGAGAAAGUACACUUCACUCCCCAGGUUAGUUAGUUAGUUACUACUUCUUGAGACAGAACCAGACAUGAGUUUUAGCGGAUCAGACUAUAACCAGGUUCGGUGUUGGUGUUGCAGAGAACGGGUGUGUUCAUCAGAGGACGAAGGUGCUGAUUCGGUUCACGCCCAACCGUCUUCGUCCUCAGUGGUGUUUACACCUCCACAGACUCCAAACAAGGAUACUGGGUUAUCAUCACAGAAGACAACACAAGUAGACAAAGCAGCAGCAGCAACUCCGGUAAAACGGUCUGCUUGUCUAGUGAGGAGUGAUAGUAUCUGUGCUUCCAGAUGUAUCGGCGUCUCCUCUGCAGUCUCUUAGUCAACAAACAAAUAAAAAAUGAUUUUCAAGUUGUUUAGCAGCAAACCAUUGAUUGUUGUGCGUAUUGUAUGAGUUUUCACUUGACCGUUCUCUCUCUCGCUCUCUUAUUCAUUGAUAUUGCUCUGGUGUCAUGUUGUGUGUAAUGGUUUCUCUUGGAACUUGAAUUCAUAAUAUCUCAUCCUUUUAGAACUAUGUUAUGCUUCUUUUUUUAUACUCCUUCCAUUUAUAGAAUUUUUAGUGUUUUUACACAUAUUAAGAAAACACAUUAAAUUAUUAUAAUAAAUAUUUUUUUUGUAAUUUUUAAUUUUAAUAAUUUUUAAUCAAUAGUAAUUCAUUAAAGUCAAUUAAUUUUUUUAAAAAUUACAUUUUUUUUAUAGAAAAUACAAAAAAUCUAUUUUUAUGAAAUAAUUUUUUUAAACAUAUAACCUAGUGAAACUGAAAGAGUAUAUUGUAUGAAUUUCAUAAUUUUAUGUAUGUUAUUAAAAUAUUAUAUUCAUAACCUAUUUAAGAGACUUUUAAGGGUUGUUAUCUUCAUAACCUCAGGUUUAUUCAUGCAAGAAAUCUUGUGGCGGCAGUGACUAUCCUUGCUGCAACCAUGUGUCAUGGCACCUGUUGUUUGUGUGUUCAAUUUCUUAGGUUGAAGCUUUGGUAGAGUAUAGUAAUGCUGAUGAUGUAUUUGUUUUAAGCAAGGGCUUGAAUCUGCGUGUAAGAGGUUCCCUGCAAUCACUCUUGAACAUGGCAACCAUUUCUCAAUAGUAUACAAGAGAAACGAAACAUAGACCUGGUGACCCUUUUGUCCUUACCAGGUGGUUUGGUCCUUUGCUUCCCUAAACUUUUGUUUAUGCCUUGCUUGGGUUGGGAGAUAGGUAGUAUACCCAAAUCAAAUUCUAGUUGAUAUAUCAUAUGGUCGGUUCAAGCAUAUAAUUGGUAUAAGUUUAUUGUUGCGUGACUGCUGCAAUUAUAUGGGGUAUCUGUAUUAUUGAAAACCGUCGGGUGUGUUCAUCAGAGGACGAAGGUGCUGAUUCGGUUCACGCCCAACCGUCUUCGUCCUCAGUGGUGUUUACACCUCCACAGACUCCAAACAAGGAUACUGGGUUAUCAUCACAGAAGACAACACAAGUAGACAAAGCAGCAGCAGCAACUCCGGUAAAACGGUCUGCUUGUCUAGUGAGGAGUGAUAGUAUCUGUGCUUCCAGAUGUAUCGGCGUCUCCUCUGCAGUCUCUUAGUCAACAAACAAAUAAAAAAUGAUUUUCAAGUUGUUUAGCAGCAAACCAUUGAUUGUUGUGCGUAUUGUAUGAGUUUUCACUUGACCGUUCUCUCUCUCGCUCUCUUAUUCAUUGAUAUUGCUCUGGUGUCAUGUUGUGUGUAAUGGUUUCUCUUGGAACUUGAAUUCAUAAUAUCUCAUCCUUUUAGAACUAUGUUAUGCUUCUUUUUUUAUACUCCUUCCAUUUAUAGAAUUUUUAGUG
rnacentral:lncRNA from 1 species